AGUGAACGCUGGCGGUAGGCCUAACACAUGCAAGUCGAACGGCAGCACAGUAAGAGCUUGCUCUUACGGGUGGCGAGUGGCGGACGGGUGAGGAAUACAUCGGAAUCUACUUUUUCGUGGGGGAUAACGUAGGGAAACUUACGCUAAUACCGCAUACGACCUACGGGUGAAAGCAGGGGAUCUUCGGACCUUGCGCGAUUGAAUGAGCCGAUGUCGGAUUAGCUAGUUGGCGGGGUAAAGGCCCACCAAGGUGACGAUCCGUAGCUGGUCUGAGAGGAUGAUCAGCCACACUGGAACUGAGACACGGUCCAGACUCCUACGGGAGGCAGCAGUGGGGAAUAUUGGACAAUGGGCGCAAGCCUGAUCCAGCCAUACCGCGUGGGUGAAGAAGGCCUUCGGGUUGUAAAGCCCUUUUGUUGGGAAAGAAAAGCAGCAGGUUAAUACCCCGCUGUUCUGACGGUACCCAAAGAAUAAGCACCGGCUAACUUCGU
rnacentral:rRNA from 1 species